UCAGGCGGUCGUGUGCUCGUCUUCUAUUAGCAACUCUCAAGCGUAGACAUUCGGAGACACACGCGCCUAACUUCUCUGUUCAGAAUCUCAGUCGACAUCACGCUGACUUUUACAUCUCUACAGCCAACUUUUCAGCCUAACACCUAAUUGAAGAUGAACAUGCCAUGGACAAUCUGUAUGACUGUGAUUGUGGCAACAAUUCAUCUGGUUCCAGCAGAACAGCUCUUUCCAGCAAAAGUCCUGAUUGACCAGGAAACGGUAGAUGAAGGGUCUAAGUUAACUUUGAGAUGUAUGGUG